UCGGUAAUUCCAGCUCCAGUAGCGUAUAUUAAAGUUGUUGCAGUUAAAAAGCUCGUAGUUGGAUUUCUGGUUGAAUGCGCCUGGCCCGCGGCGGUUACGUCAGUGAGUGCCGGUGUGUCUCUGCCAUCCUUCUGGAAAACGUUCCUACCUUUCAUUAGGCCGGGUUCGUGAUUCAGAUCAUUUACUUUGAAAAAAUUAGAGUGUUUAAAGCAAGCUUGCGCUAUGAAUACAUUAGCAUGGAAUAAUAAUUUAGGACUUUGGUCCUAUUUUGUUGGUUUCUAGGACUGAAGUAAUGAUUGAUAGGGAUAGUUGGGGGUGCUAGUAUUCAGCGGCCAGAGGUGAAAUUCUUGGAUUCGCUGAAGACUAACUUAUGCGAAAGCAUUCACCAAGGAUGUCUUCUUUAAUCAAGAACGAAAGUUGGGGGAUCGAAGACGAUCAGAUACCGUCGUAGUCUCAACCAUAAACUAUGCCAACUAGGGAUGAGUGAAAGUUGCAUUUUCGACUUCAUUUGCACCUUAUGAGAAAUCAAAGUUUUCGGGUUCCGGGGGGAGUAUGGUCGCAAGGCUGAAACUUAAAGGAAUUGACGGAAGGGCACCACCAGGAAUGGAGCCUGCGGCUUAAUUUGACCCAACACGGGAAAACUUACCAGGUCCAGACAUAAGUAGGAUUGACAGAUUGAAGAUCUUUCUUGAUUUUAUGGGUGGUGGUGCAUGGCCGUUCUUAGUUGGUGGAGUGAUUUGUCUGGUUAAUUCCGUUAACGAACGAGACCUCGACCUGCUAAAUAGUUCGACGAACCCUCCGGGGUUCGUACGUGACUUCUUAGAGGGACUAUCGGUGUGUAGCCGAUGGAAGUUCGAGGCAAUAACAGGUCUGUGAUGCCCUUAGAUGUUCUGGGCCGCACGCGCGCUACACUGACACUUUCAUCGAGCUUACAACCUUGGCAGAUAUGUCUGGGUAAUCUUUUAAAUCGCAUCGUGAUGGGGAUAGAUUAUUGUAAUUUUUAAUCUUCAACGAGGAAUUCCUAGUAAACGCAAGUCAUCAGCUUGCAUUGAUUACGUCCCUGCCCUUUGUACACACCGCCCGUCGCUACUACCGAUUGAAUGAUUUAGUGAGUACCACGGACUGGUGCGUUUGGUUGGGUUUCCAGCCUUGCGUGUCGGAAAGUGGUUCAAACUUGAUCAUUUAGAGGAAGUAAAAGUCGUAACAAGGUAGCCGUA
rnacentral:rRNA from 1 species